rnacentral:rRNA from 1 species
UACAGAGGUCUCAAGCGUUGUUCGGAUUCAUUGAGCGUAAAGGGUGCGUAGGCGGCGCGGUAAGUCGGGUGUGAAAUCUCGGAGCUUAACUCCGAAACUGCAUUCGAUACUGCCGUGCUUGAGGACUGGAGAGGAGACUGGAAUUUACGGUGUAGCGGUGAAAUGCGUAGAUAUCGUAAGGAAGACCAGUGGCGAAGGCGGGUCUCUGGACAGUUCCCUGACGCUGAGGCACGAAGGUCAGGGGAGCAAACGGG